rnacentral:rRNA from 1 species
UUAGUGUCAGAACCGUCCAGAUAGCCGCCUUCGCCACUGGUGUUCUUCCCAAUCUCUACGUAUUUCACCACUACACUGGGAAUUCCACUAUCCUCUCCGGUCCUCUAGUCGCCCAGUAUCAAGUGCAUUUCUUGAGUUGAGCUCAAGGCUUUCACACCUGACUAUGACAACCACCUACACUCGCUUUACGCCCAGUAAUUCCGAACAACGCUAGCCCCCUUCGUCUUACCGCGGCUGCUGGCACGAAGUUAGCCGGGGCUUAUUCUGCGGGUACCGUCAUCAUCGUCCCCGCCAAAAGAGCUUUACAACCCGAAGGCCUUCAUCACUCACGCGGCAUGGCUGGAUCAGGGUUGCCCCCAUUGUCCAAUAUUCCCCACUGCUGCCUCCCGUAGGAGUCUGGGCCGUGUCUCAGUCCCAGUGUGGCUGAUCGUCCUCUCAGACCAGCUAACGAUCGUCGCCUUGGUGAGCCAUUACCUCACCAACUAGCUAAUCGUACGCGGACUCAUCUUUUGGCGAUAAAUCUUUAUCCCGUAGGAACCAUCCGGUAUUAGCCCCAGUUUCCCGGGGUUAUUCCGAACCAAAAGGCAGAUAUCCACGCGUUACUCACCCGUGCGCCACUCCCCUUGC